GUUUGUUCAGCGCUUGCUCCCCUUGUUUGUUUAGGCAAUUUGGGAAGGGGAUUUUUGGAUGUAGACGGGGGAUUUUCGUUGGAUUUGGUUGAUUUUGGGUUGUGGUUGUGGAUUUGGUUGCAGCUAGGGCGUUUGGUGUUGGAUGUUGACGGGGGAUUUCCAUUGUAUUUGCGUUGGAUUUUAGGGGAUUUUGUGUAGUGUACAUUUGCUUGCAGUAGAGGCAUUUGGGGUGUGAGUGGCGCAUCGACUCUGUUCGUAGGCAGGGAGUUGUUCGUCUGCGGCCAUGGUUCCUUGCUCGGACGGCAAGCAUGUUGAGUGCAUGGGCUAAGUGGUGCUUGCCGGCGGGGUGUGCAUCUGGCAAGCAGUGGCAUGUGUGCGCUGGGUUAAUCCGUUUCCAUUCUCGUUCCCGUCCUGUCGUCUCGCUCUCCAACCAGCAGCCGACACUUCCCCGCAAAUCCUUCCACGGCGAGUCACCUCACUUCACCCUGUUAAUCCCCAGCGAAGAAGGUAAUUACCGCCAUUCUCCCCGUAAUUUUGCAUUACACCUUCCUAAUCACUCCAGUCAGCUACUAGUAUUUCAGCAAAUUAGUACAGGCAUUCCGAGGCCAGACAAUCCCUGCGUUAGUUACCCCUGCUCGUUCUGAUUUGGGGGGAGGGGGGUUCUCUUGGAUCUCCUGCCGCUUGUUGGGGGCAAAUCCUUGAAAUUUUCCAGCCAUAAAGAUUUAUUUUCGCUACAGUUAGGGUUUCUGAUUAGUGCAAGGGGAUAAGAAUUUCAGUUCUUUGUCCACUGAAUUGAGUUUGACAUUUCCUACCUAUCUUCUUUGUCCACUGAAUUGAGUUUGACAUUUCCUACCUAUCACUACCUCGCAUCGCUGCUCAUGCUUUCUUUAGUGUUUGCACUUUGCUGUGAUCGGUGAUUUAUCAGAUAAUCAGACCACAGCAUGUCGUUCAUUCCAGUAUUUGGGCUGGCAGUGGGUUCUAAUUAGAUAUACCAAAUGUGUGUUCGCUGCAACUCACUCUGAUUUCUGGGAGUUCUAAAUGUAGUCUAUCGGUAAUGAUGCAGUUGUCCAAUCGUCCAGCCUCCUGCGUUACACACUGGAUGCGGCUUCUGUUUGUGUCCCAACUCCCAUGUUUGUUGGUCCUCACUUGCUCUUUCUGUUUCAGAGCAAAUUAGUACAGGUCACCUUUCUACCACUAGAAUCUUUUGUUUUUGCUGCGGUUGUAGGUGAUCUCUGAUCUAAAAUUCAUUCAGAUCUGUGUCUGGUUCAGAUCUGUGUAUUGGUAACUCAGGGCCCAAUACCUGAGUUACUUGAUUAGAGAGUAGCCAGGGCCCUGUGUCUGGUUCAGUUAUUUGUUUAAAAUCCAGAAUUAGCAACUGCCUUACUUUUUAGUUUUACAUGAUUAUGCUCUGAAAACUGUGAGACCAAAUAUGUAGAUCCAAUCUUUUUAGCUAAGUACUGAAACAAAUUUAUGACUAUCAGUUUAUUAAUCUUUAGGCUGAACGUUGUUCUUUUUUUUGAGUUUAGUCCUGUGUGCAAUGGUGUUUGCUGAUCUUCAUUGAAAAUUUUUAGUUUUUGUGUCUUUCCAUUGUUUUGUUUUGUUUGUACUGGUGCUAACUGUCCUUCUAGAUUGGAUUGGUUUGGGCUGUGCAGCGACUGGAGUUCUGGGAGGAAUCGGUGCCGAUGAGGACGAGUGGAGCAAGUAGUGCUGCUGCUCAUCAUCUCAUUAUUUUGUGCUCUUGUUCUUUGUGCCCCCUGACUUCAAGGUCAGUUAUUAGUUUUUCAAGUUUAGGAUUGUUAUGAGUUCAGUUAUUAGUUUUUUUAGUUUUACAAUUCCAGGUUUCAAGUUCAGGAUUGUUAUUAGUUGAGUCUUAGUUAAUUUUUUAUCUUUAAUUCCACCAAGGCAGUCUUCAUUUUUUUAGACUCAGCUCUAUCAUAUUUCAGGUACUAAAUUUUAGUAAAUUCUUGUAGCACUUGUAGGUUUCCUUUGGUCUGAAUCAAUGCAGUCUGAUUGUAGUUUCUGUCUAUGCAGGGUCAGCCAACCUUCUAUAGCCCCUUAAAGACUACUUACUAGUUCUACUAGGACUAGAAUAAGAGGUGGCGUUUUGAGUUGAAACCAAGGGGAAUUCGAUAGUGGUGUUUUGAGUUGUUAGUGUUUGGACUUCUUGGGGGAGACAUGGCUAAUCUUGUGGCUGUGAACAUAAAGAGGAAGGAUGCUGAGGUGGCCAGCCAUGGAUUCUCCACGUUCCUUGAUCCUAAGAGGAUCAAACUGCAGGAUGAGGCAGAGAUCCCCGAGAUGAUGGAAGAAGAGGAAGCACUUGCAGAUGCAGACGCCGGUGCAGCACCACUUGUUGUGCAGUUGUAGACACCAAUGUUGAUGCCGCCCUCACCGUCACCACUGCAGCAAACUCAGGGCCAAGAAGAGGCUUCUGUCCUCCAUGACAGCACCACGAGCACUGAACAACAAUUUUGUGAUUUGUGUUAGUUUGCUGCCGCUUUGUUAGUGACUAUCACAGAAGCAAUUUGUUAUAUAUGUGACUAUGCUGCUGCUCUUUUUUUUACUGUAUAUUAUUUGCAGUGAAGUAUGUAUAUAGGUCAUCUAAAUAAUUGCAAACGGAAUAAUGUAAAUUGUAAAUAUAGGGCUCUGCAAUUGUAUUUCUGACCAUUGUUCAUGCCAUCACAGUUAGCUUUACAAAAUAGGUUAAAUGGAAAACAUAUUUAGCAAUGUGUUUGUAGUCUUUACUGUGAUAAGUGUGGAUCCUUGCAGCUACCCAGAAGACUGUUGAUGUGCCCUCAGCUAAGGACUGGAGGGGUGGAAGGGCUGCUAGUUUCAACAUCAUUCCCAGCAGCACUGGAGCUGCUAAGCUCAUUAUUGGACAGGCCAGGGAUCAAUGCUACCAUUUGAUGUUUCCUUUCUCUUAUUUCUUUUUGGCUUCACCGGGGAUUCUAUAAAACAUUACUAGUUCAAGAAUUAUGCAUUUGGAUUCAAAUUCUAUUUGUAGCUACACAAUUUAUAAUGAAACAUUGAAAAUUACUCUCCUAUUGUGCUGAAUUUACAUCGCAUAUAUCGGUGUAAUUUGCACAUGUGUGCAUUGUAAUUUCGGUACACUUGCAGUAUAAUUUUUACCCAUC